AAAGGUGUAGCUCAAAGUAAUAGAGUGUGUGCUUAGCAUGCACAGGGUCCUGGGUUCAAUCCUCAGUACCUCCU
rnacentral:tRNA from 1 species